CAACACAAGGGCAUACUGCAGCAGCAUCUGGCUGGUGUGGGACCCAGAAGGCUACAGGGAGCAGUAACAAAACAUAAAGACUGCAGUCUGACAGAAGCUUUGCUAGGACUAAAUCAAAGCAGAGCUUUCAGUUAAAUCCACAACUGAUCAUUUUGUUGGCCCGGUGUUCCUACUCUGUUUGGUGUAACAGUACAAUGAAAGAAAAGAUUUGGU
rnacentral:lncRNA from 1 species